UACGUAGGUGGCAAGCGUUGUCCGGAUUUACUGGGCGUAAAGAGCGCGCAGGCGGUCGUUCAAGUCGCGUGUGAAAGCCCCCGGCUCAACUGGGGAGGGUCACGCGAUACUGAUCGACUCGAAGGCAGGAGAGGGUAGUGGAAUUCCCGGUGUAGUGGUGAAAUGCGUAGAUAUCGGGAGGAACACCAGUGGCGAAGGCAGCUCGCUGGAACGGUACUGACGCUGAGGCGCGAAAGCGUGGGGAGCAAACAGG
rnacentral:rRNA from 1 species